rnacentral:ncRNA from 2 species
UACGUAGGUGGCAAGCGUUGUCCGGAUUUACUGGGCGUAAAGGGAGCGUAGGCGGUUUUUUAAGUGGGGUGUGAAAUCCCUGGGCUUAACCCAGGAAUUGCAUUCCAAACUGGAAGACUAGAGUGCAGGAGAGGAAAGUGGAAUUCCAAGUGUAGCGGUGAAAUGCGUAGAGAUUUGGAGGAACACCAGUGGCGAAGGCGACUUUCUGGACUGUAACUGACGCUGAGGCUCGAGAGCGUGGGGAGCAAACAGG